AUUGAACGCUGGCGGCAUGCCUUACACAUGCAAGUCGAACGGUAACAGGUCUUCGGAUGCUGACGAGUGGCGAACGGGUGAGUAAUACAUCGGAACGUGCCUAGUAGUGGGGGAUAACUACUCGAAAGAGUGGCUAAUACCGCAUGAGAUCUACGGAUGAAAGCAGGGGAUCGCAAGACCUUGUGCUACCACAGAGGCCGAGGGAAGAUUAGGUAGUUGGUGGGAUAAAAGCUUACCAAGCCGACGAUCUGUAGCUGGUCUGAGAGGACGAUCAGCCACACUGGGACUGAGACACGGCCCAGACUCCUACGGGAGGCAGCAGUGGGGAAUUUUGGACAAUGGGCGCAAGCCUGAUCCAGCAAUGCCGCGUGCAGGAUGAAGGCCUUCGGGUUGUAAACUGCUUUUGUACGGAACGAAAAGCCCUGGGUUAAUACCCUGGGGUCGUGACGGUACCGUAAGAAUAAGCACCGGCUAACUACGUGCCAGCCGCCGCAGUAACAC
rnacentral:rRNA from 1 species